rnacentral:rRNA from 1 species
CCUACGGGAGGCAGCAGUGGGGAAUAUUGGACAAUGGGCGCAAGCCUGACCCAGCAACGCCGCGUGAAGGAAGAAGGCUUUCGGGUUGUAAACUUCUUUUAAGAGGGAAGAGCAGAAGACGGUACCUCUUGAAUAAGCCACGGCUAACUACGUGCCAGCAGCCGCGGUAAUACGUAGGUGGCAAGCGUUGUCCGGAUUUACUGGGUGUAAAGGGCGUGCAGCCGGGAAGACAAGUCAGAUGUGAAAUCCCGGGGCUCAACCGCGGAACUGCAUUGGAAACUGUUUUUCUUGAGUACCGGAGAGGUCAUCGGAAUUCCAUGUGUAGCGGUGAAAUGCGUAGAUAUAAGGAAGAACACCAGUGGCGAAGGCGGAUGACUGGACGGCAACUGACGGUGAGGCGCGAAAGCGUGGGGAGCAAACAGGAUUAGAUACCCGGGUAGUC